rnacentral:rRNA from 1 species
GGGGAAUAUUGCGCAAUGGGGGGAACCCUGACGCAGCAACGCCGCGUGGAGGAAGAAGGUCUUCGGAUUGUAAACUCCUGUCUUUUGGGACGAUAAUGACGGUACCAGAAGAGGAAGCCACGGCUAACUACGUGCCAGCAGCCGCGGUAAUACGUAGGUGGCGAGCGUUGUCCGGAAUUACUGGGCGUAAAGAGCGCGUAGGCGGUUAAUUAAGUCAGAUGUGAAAACCCGAGGCUUAACUUCGGGAUUGCAUUUGAAACUGGUUAACUUGAGUACAGGAGAGGUAAGUGGAAUUCCUAGUGUAGCGGUGAAAUGCGUAGAUAUUAGGAGGAACACCAGUGGCGAAGGCGACUUACUGGACUGUAACUGACGCUGAGGCGCGAGAGCGUGGGGAGCAAAC